CAGAAUUGAUGGGUGGACGAGUGCUGCUCAUCUCACACCUUUGUGGUCCCAUAAGACCCAUAACAUGAGAUCGAAGGCUAAACCCAUGUCUGUGAAGGAGCACAAGACCAGGCCCCUCAGAUCUUGUUGGACCGUUAACUUCUACAACCAACACGGGCAAAGGUGAGAAGCAAUGGAGGCUGUGGAUUAACAACAACUGGAGGGCCACAAUUUCCCAACCUGUGCAGUAGAGUGUGGACAUUCAGAAGUCGAAGCAGAAAGCUCGGUGGCAUGCCGUCUUCUCUUCCCCGACAGUGGAUGCAACACAAGCACAUGCCUCUGUUCUGCAAUUCAAACGGCACGAUCCAAAUGGUAUUGCUGACAGUUUGUUACAGCAGGACUUGAAGUGCAGCUUGGAAUAAAAAGACCUCAGGCUACUCCCGCCUACUGCAUACCACUUACCUCCACAGGCGAUAACAGAAGUUGACCUGAAGUACAUAAUUUAUUGUCUGUUUGGUUCUCAGAAAUGCUGCAUAAAUGGAAGCUUGUCCUUACAUUUAUGUGCUGUUUGUUUUGCAUACUUUGAGGCACUGUGUUUUGUUGGGUAGAGGGCUGCCUUCCCGGGGUUUGCCAUACUCAUGGCCCAACACAAUGUACUUCAAAU